rnacentral:rRNA from 1 species
UACGUAGGGUGCGAGCGUUAAUCGGAAUUACUGGGCGUAAAGGGUGCGCAGGCGGCUUCGCAAGUCAGGCGUGAAAUCCCCCGGGCUUAACCUGGGAAUGGCACUUGAAACUACGGAGCUGGAGUAUGGCAGAGGGAGGUGGAAUUCCACGUGUAGCGGUGAAAUGCGUAGAGAUCUGGAGGAACACCGAUGGCGAAGGCAGCCUUCUGGGCCAACACUGACGCUCAUGCACGAAAGCGUGGGGAGCAAACAGG